rnacentral:rRNA from 1 species
GGAUUAGAUACCCUGGUAGUCCACGCUGUAAACGAUGAGAACUAGCCGUUGGAACCUUUACUGGAUUUAGUGGCGCAGCUAACGCGAUAAGUUCUCCGCCUGGGGAGUACGGCCGCAAGGUUAAAACUCAAAUGAAUUGACGGGGGCCCGCACAAGCGGUGGAGCAUGUGGUUUAAUUCGAAGCAACGCGAAGAACCUUACCUGGCCUUGACAUCCUGCGAACUUAGUAGAGAUACUUUGGUGCCUUCGGGAGCGCAGAGACAGGUGCUGCAUGGCUGUCGUCAGCUCGUGCUG